CAAAAUCAGGAAAGAACCCACUUCCUCCACCUUCUCCCCGACCCAAUCUCCAUCUCUCUCCCAAUCCCGAACUACCUGGCAUCCCUCCCUCCUGCGAGUCUGAGACCACCCAGCGGUGGCCCCUCUCUCCGCCGAGAAAAAUCGCCGACGGUUGGGGUCUCCGGUGUAGGAGGAUCCGCAGCCCGCGGUGGGCCUUCUCCCCUGCACCCCGAGCUCGGAUGGCCUCAAUCUGGGAGCCGAGUGGAGGCGCGGUGGGGCCAAGCAUGGCGACGCUGAUCCUGAUAGCGUCCUGGCCACGGUCGCGGACGCCACGCCCUCACAAGAGUCCCGCACGGGAACCAUAGGAGAGGGUGGCACACUGGCUGCACCGAUGAGUUCGCAGCCAUCAUGCACGUCGACAUUAGCUGCGGCACGUACGAGCCCUGCAGCAUCGACGAGAUCGGCCUAGGUUACUGCACCGGCGACCUCUGUGGUACAUGCGACGAUGCUAGCGCAGAUCCACAAGAUUAGAUGCGUGCACUUGUAAUGCGUGCACUUGUAAGGCUGUUCGUAACUCCCAUCUUCUACUUUCGCUCUAUUUCUAUCGCGAUCUGCACAUGGACAUCGUUGACUGGUGCACCGUUUUGUAUCUCGGCUGGUGAUGAUAGCCAUCUUGGACGCCUUCUUCGUGGAGCCCGGCUUGCUUAAGGUUCCCUGCCUGUCGAAUUUUUUCUCUACCGAGAAGUGCAUAUUGUUGAUUGGUCCGGCUUACAAAGAGGAGUACUAGCUUCCCGAGUCUCUCUUACAGAGGCACUCAAAUGGUCAAAGCAUGACUAUAUUAGUAUAACCAACUACAUCAGCCGUGAGGAUCUUCAGGUUUGCUCUAGAAUUAGACCUUGUAGUUAUUCUAAACUGAUAUAUACUGGCAUGGCAUGUAUGCGGAAUUAAAAAUCUUAGCUUCAAUUGCUUCCGACGCAUAAUACUGUCUUCCAAUUCUAUAAUAUUUAUUUCCUAUGCCGAUACUAUUAACCUGUUCCUUGGUUUAUAUCUUCUCUAACUGGUUCAUUAUGUAUGUUGUAACUUCAUCAGAGUAUAUAUACGUUAACAAAUAGAGAUGAAUACUCCUAAUGCCUUUUCUUACAAUUGUAUAUGGGUGAUUGUGAUGCACAUAUUUCUAGCAGCAGCAGUGCUACCUGCUAUUGUGAGUCUGUACGAAGGCUGGUGCGACCGUCUUGGAGGUGAUGUCGUUUUUGGGAAGCUUGUAUUGGAUAUCUAUGCUUUGGGACGGGUGAACAAAACCAUGUAUAAAGAGUCCAACGCUUGAGAUUCUAGCAUGGAAAAAAGGAUAUGCUGACUGAACUUAACCAAUCUGGUGCUACAUUUAGACUUGAACAGAUUAGGUUUAUUCAUGGUUCAAAUCGUGGUUGCCAAAGUGACAUUGGACGCACUUUGCCCAAAUGUCCAAAUAGAACAAUACAUUGCGUAGCGAAGUUUAUUUUUCUGUCAUGAUUAACUAAAAUUAUAAACUAAUAUAUAGCAGCCCACAAAUGAUAACAUGUCAUCAGCUUUCACAGCUUUUGCAAAGACAAGACUUUGACUUAACAGCAUCAAGAGCAGAAUAAUACAUAAACAUUUGGCCUCUUAACCAGAUGACUAACCUACAUACCCAUGAUCUUCAUGCGUCCACUGUUGUUUUUGCCAUUCGACUUAGGGAGAGAUCAUUCAUACUCUAAUGUUUUGGCCAUCAUAUCUAGGAGA